AUUUCAGCAGUGAGUUCUACUGUUAGACUUCUGUAUCUCUGCGGGCGUUGUUAACUUCGCUUCACACGUUCAGAAAGUCGUUUCCAACUCUGCUACAGGAUCAUUUUACAGAAGACCAGUUUGAACCGAUUAUUCUGAAGAAUCCCGCUGAAAAGAAGCUAAGGCCAUUUGCGACGCCAAACAUCUUUUUUGCAUCGACCAGUAGCAAAGCCACGCUAGCCACCCCUUAAAAGAACAAGAGUGGGCAUUACUGAUGACACCAAAGUCAAGCAAAACACACAGGUCGAUGUCGAACCCAAGCCAGUGGACACUGAGAAUGGCAGAUGUUCCUGACAUGCGACUAGAGCCACAGAUCUCUGCUCCAUUCCCGACAGAAAGUAGGCAGGCUGUUUCGGCGGCCAGUCUAGCCUUCUUCGCAGAAUGUUAGGGAAAUGGCACAAGACACAAAGCGCAGCAGAGGACCACCCACCAAGUUUAGGGGUACGCGGAAAUAAAACAACAAAAGGUAACAAAAAAAAAGAAACCCAGAAACAACUUAAUCAAUCGCUUUGCAGAGUGCUUCUUAGCGGCUGCGCCAAAAUUGUCGAAAGAAGUGCAGGCAAAGAGGCGCCGUAAAUAGGUGGUUUAUUCCUACGUUUUCUUCAUUUGUUAAAUAAAAAUGUCUAUCUGACCUAGUGACGAAAGGGAA